CCAGGAGCCCCCAAAGCCUUCCUCUUCCCGGGGCUCCUCUGUCGCCUGCCCGUUAGGCACCUUGCCUCCUCCCUCCUCAAGAACCACCUAGAACCUGCCAGAAUAAAGUCAGGUGGAGUACAAGCCCCCAGUGAAGUGGCAGAGGAGACAGAAACAGCAGGAAGAAUGCAGGCAUACAUCCGGCCAAGGUCUCAGACCUUGUUUCUCGCUUGCUGUGUGGCCUGAGAUGUGUCCACUCCUCCGGAUUCCUGCCUCCAGCUUGCUUCUCCGUCCAAGGACACGUAGCUGGAUACCAUCCUUAGACGCUGCUCUGCUC